rnacentral:rRNA from 1 species
UAUAACUGGAGAGUUUGAUCCUGGCUCAGAAUGAACGCUGGCGGCGUGCUUAACACAUGCAAGUCGAACGAGAAAGGGAUUGCUUGCAAUCCUGAGUAGAGUGGCGCACGGGUGAGUAACACGUAGAUAAUCUACCUUCAAGC